rfam:Picea glauca, whole genome shotgun sequence.
AAGGGAAAGAGAUGCUGGUGCGGUUCAAUCCGAAGAUAGCAUUACAACAUGAAUGUAAUGUCGUCUCAGAUUGAGCCGCGCCAAUAUCACUUUUCUCAGA